AUUUGUGGUGUCGUUUAAUAGGGAAAGAGCCUGCGGUUUUUCAUGUUACGCAGAGACAGAAUCUCUUUCACCGUACUCUCGUGGUCUUUUCACACCUCACAACUCACAAGGGCCUUACUUUUCUGACACCGUCCAAAUCUUUCUUUUCUCUAAGCUUUUCUAUGCCAUACUUCAAAACUUCUCGUUUUAAAUAUUCUUUUCACUUCUUUGUUAUUAUUGCGCCUCUUGUAAUUUAAGGAUGACUACUUUUUAUUUAGUUCUUCAAAGCAUUUGAGAGUAGAAAAAUGUGGGAACAGAAGAAACGGAAGUUAUGCAAGAAGAGGAAACCUUACGGACAUGAAGUGGAAGCUGAAGGAGAUCCAGAAAUGGGGAAGUUGGAUUGAACAAGUAGUGAAAAAUGAGAAGAAAAAUGGAAAGUAAUUGAAUGAGUGAAAUGUAAAGUCCGUUAAUGUGAUUCAAUUUUGAUUCAACUAAUAUCAAAAUUAUUAGAAUUAGCUAUUUGAUUGUUGAAUUUAAAUUUUUAUAGAUUGUUUGUAAUUACUAUUCUUUAGUGAUGUGAAAUUGGAAUUUGACAUUUAUACUCA
rnacentral:lncRNA from 1 species